rnacentral:rRNA from 1 species
AACGCGUGAGUAACCUGCCUUACACAAGGGGAUAGCCUCUGGAAACGGAGAAUAAUACCCUAUGAAACUAUCUUAUCGCAUGAAAAGAUAGUCAAAGUGUUUUAGCGGUGUAAGAUGGACUUGCGUCUGAUUAGCUAGUUGGCGAGAUAACAGCCCACCAAGGCAACGAUCAGUAGCCGGCUUGAGAGAGUGUACGGCCACAUUGGGACUGAGACACGGCCCAG